CCUACGGGGGGCUGCAGUGGGGAAUAUUGGACAAUGGGCGAAAGCCUGAUCCAGCCAUGCCGCGUGUGUGAAGAAGGCCUUCGGGUUGUAAAGCACUUUCAGUGGGGAAGAAAGCCUUGGGGCUAAUACCCUCGAGGAAGGACAUCACCCACAGAAGAAGCACCGGCUACACUCCGUGCCAGCAGCCGCGGUAAUACGGAGGGUGCGAGCGUUAAUCGGAAUUACUGGGCGUAAAGCGCGCGUAGGCGGUCUGAUAAGCCGGUUGUGAAAGCCCCGGGCUCAACCUGGGAACGGCAUCCGGAACUGUCAGGCUAGAGUGCAGGAGAGGAAGGUAGAAUUCCCGGUGUAGCGGUGAAAUGCGUAGAGAUCGGGAGGAAUACCAGUGGCGAAGGCGGCCUUCUGGACUGACACUGACGCUGAGGUGCGAAAGCGUGGGUAGCAAACAGGAUUAGAUACCCCUGUAGUC
rnacentral:rRNA from 1 species